CAUUAUUACCCUUCAUAAGAUCCUCAUCCAAACCUGAGCCACUUUAGUUGGUACUGCUAGGCAUACGAGGAGGUUAGCCUUUGUACUCCAUAUAUUACAACUGUCAUUAUCUUGAAUUGAUAUAGUUUAUGAGAAAACGCACGCACUCUUUGGCAAUGGAAUUUAAAAUMGCAAUGGUCCUGGUUCUCCUAGUUUGUACAGAGAUGGUUUCAUCACGAGCAGUCAAGCAUAUCGAGAAGCGUGAUGUGGAUUGCUACAAUCGACUUGGGGACUGGUGUUUUCUYAACAGYGACUGUCCCAUGUACUGYGAUUCMUAUGAUGUCAUGUGCAUCUAUGGCCAAUGCUUGACAUACGGGAACUCYUUGCCUUACAGAAAAAAGCGAURAAUAAAGACASAAAMUAAAGAACUGAAAAAUACUACACAGUCAUUUGGAACAUUAUAAAAACGAAAUAGAGUGAACCAAGAGAACAUUUAUAGGGCGUUGAAAUGAUAAACGCAUCAGCUAAUAUUGAAUUAUGUMAACUUGUAUAUGAAUAGAAGAAGCAAUAACGUAUUACUGCUUCUAAUGSAGCCUCUAAAACAUACAGUGGUAGAAAAGGAUUCGAACCCAUGACGGCAUAUUACUCCUGGCUUAAGUCCGAUCUAGGGCUCGAUUCUCGUUCUAAGCCUGAUAAUUUUUAAMGGCUCAUUGUAGAUAUAGGUAAUUAUGAAUUACACAUAUGACACGGAGGYCGAUUGUACGAAGGAUGGACAACCACUCCAUACUAUUUUGUUUUCGAUUUUAUAGCGCUAUUCACCUUCGUGCAACCACGCCACACAUCCGAAACUCGCCUUUUAGAUGUUCCAAGCAAUUCUGUAAAUUUUUGUGUGAAUUUCACUAUUMAAUUAUUAACAAUUUCAUAUACACACACAUCUAUAAUACAUCUAUAAUAAAUGCUGUAUACAACUAUAUAUAUGACUAUAAUCAUAUCAUAGUAAAGAAACCUAAAAUGAAAAGACGACAAAUAAACUAAAACUCCUUGCUA